rnacentral:misc_RNA from 1 species
AACUGUCAACCUUUUCGAUUUUCUUUUUGGAAAGGCUUGGACUUUGGAGGCUUUUGCUGGCUUUCCUUUCGGAAGCCAGCUCCUCUUAAACGAAUUAGUGGGGUCCUCUUCGCCGGUCCCUCGACGUUGAUAAGAAUUUCUCUACGUCCGAGGUUCGGCUCUGUUAGGCCCGCUUCUAACCGUCUCUCUUUGAGACACGUUUGAACC